ACGAUGACUAAAAAUAUCUUAUUUGCUUUCUGCGGCAAGUCUGCAUCAAAGAACUAAGUUCAUUGAAUAGGCCAACUUAUGGCAAUUCCUAAGCUACUUACAAGGUAAACUUCGCUCAGACCUCAAACAGAAAGUAUCUUAUGCAAAUAAGUCGCUAUAUGGCGGACAGAAACAAAACAUUCGCGCAGGAAUAUUAAGCACGGCAGCAAAGUCCAGCCAAGCAGAGGAAAGCGUAGGAAAAGCGAAAGCGCACAGAAAAGCCGGGGAAAAUUCAGGAGGCUGUUUUUCACGCUCAGCUGCCCGGCGGCCGAAGAGGAACUGGCGAAAAAGGAGGAGGCGAGCCUGAAUAACAAAAAAAAAACUUUAUCGCAGUGCUCGCAGGACAUGAAUUUUCCCCUCAUCUCCCACCACUUCUCUUUCAGCCUUAAUGCUGAGUGACAUUGAUGUGACAUGCCGUCAUCUUGCCUCUCCUAUUGCCCACCAAUCUUUGCUUUAUUUAAAAGUUUUUCCUUCCCUCGCAUUUUUCUCGCCCAACGCCUCGGGGGCGUGGCAAGUUGUGUUUGGUUAGUAGAGCACUUACACCUUGUGGAAAACAAGGCACCUCGGGACCCUGGCCCUCGCAAAUAAUAAAUGAUAUGUAAACU
ensembl:ncRNA lncRNA:CR43849 long non-coding RNA:CR43849